rnacentral:lncRNA from 1 species
AUUAAAUUUUUUUAGAGCUAAAAGAUAAAAUUAUUAAAUAGAUUAAUGCUUAAGCAACCAUGAAAGUAUGGUGCAUGGUCAAAGAUUGUCUCAACCUAAGAAAUUAGUAUAUCCUAUAUAAAUGGUAGAACAAACAAAAAAACUCUUCUUGAAGUUCUAUUGAAGUGACUAAAAAGUCUUAACUAUUACUAAAAACUAUCUCUAU